rfam:Schistosoma curassoni strain Dakar, Senegal genome assembly, scaffold: SCTD_scaffold0000027
GUUCAACUGAAGAGUCCCAAAUAGGACGAAACGCACGUCCUUGAAU